rnacentral:misc_RNA from 1 species
CGCAGCCGCGGUAAUUCCAGCUCCAAUAGCGUAUAUUAAAGUUGUUGCAGUUAAAAAGCUCGUAGUUGAACUUCGGGGUCUACCCAUUGGUCAGGCUUAAUUGUCUGCACUGGUGGGAUGGAUCUCUACCUUCUGAGGCAACUUUCAUGCCAUUUAUUUGGUGUGAUUGGAAAUCAGGACUGUUACUUUGAAAAAAUUAGAGUGUUUAAAGCAGACUAUCGUCUGAAUACAUUAGCAUGGAAUAAUGAAAUAGGACGGACUGAUUCUAUUUCGUUGGUUUCUAGGAUCACCGUAAUGAUUAAUAGGGAUAGUUGGGGGCAUUAGUAUUCAAUUGUCAGAGGUGAAAUUCUUGGAUUUAUUGAAGACUAACUACUGCGAAAGUCAUUUGCCAAGGAUGUUUUCAUUAAUCAAGAACGAAAGUUAGGGGAUCGAAGACGAUCAGAUACCGUCGUAGUCUUAACCAUAAACUAUGCCGACUAGGGAUCGGACGAAGUUAA